rnacentral:rRNA from 1 species
GGGCCCGCACAAGCAGCGGAGCAUGUGGUUUAAUUCGAAGCAACGCGAAGAACCUUACCAGGUCUUGACAUCCAGUAAAAUCUGUAGAGAUACAGUGUGCCUUCGGGCGUACUGAGACAGGUGGUGCAUGGUUGUCGUCAGCUCGUGUCGUGAGAUGUUGGGUUAAGUCCCGCAACGAGCGCAACCCUUGUGAUCAGUUACUAACGGGUAAAGCCGAGGACUCUGAUAAGACUGCCGGGGACAACUCGGAGGAAGGUGGGGACGACGUCAAAUCAUCAUGCCCCUUAUGACCUGGGCUACACACGUGCUACAAUGGCCACUACAGAGAGCAGCCAAACCGUAAGGCGGAGCUAAUCUCACAAAAGUGGUCCCAGUUCGGAUUGUGGGCUGCAACCCGCCCACAUGAAGUCGGAGUUGCUAGUAAUCGCGGAUCAGCAUGCCGCGGUGAAUACGUUCCCGGGCCUU